UUAGUGGCGAACGGGUGAGUAACACAUGAGUAACCUGCCCUUAACUCUGGGAUAAGCCUGGGAAACUGGGUCUAAUACCGGAUAGGAGCGUCCACCGCAUGGUGGGUGUUGGAAAGAUUUAUCGGUUUUGGAUGGACUCGCGGCCUAUCAGCUUGUUGGUGAGGUAAUGGCUCACCAAGGCGACGACGGGUAGCCGGCCUGAGAGGGUGACCGGCCACAUUGGGACUGAGAUACGGCCCAG
rnacentral:rRNA from 1 species